AGGAAUAUCUGCAAUGCGGAUGUCUGCAGUUUACGCAUCAUUAAUAUUACUUAUUCAUAUAUCAUAAUGAAAGUGAAAGUAUAACAGAUCCUUUAAAUACUCUGCACUGGUUCUCUCCACUAAAUACUUGAAUGAAGCAUCAUCAGUGUGUUAUCACUGACAGAAGAGAAAUCACAAACAUCAGUAGCAGACUUACAGCGCAGACCAUCUUCAAAUCUUGAAAAUAAUCCCAGGUGUUGCAAAUAUGGGCGCGGAAGAGUCAAAACCACCAUCACCUCCACCACCGCCUCAACCAGAAUUCAAUGAACCAUGGAGAAAGAUUGAUUGGAA